rnacentral:lncRNA from 1 species
CACUUUGGUGUGAGCACACGUAUAAAAAAGUGUGUUAUAAAUUUAUCAAUAAAAGAUUGCAGCUUAUUCGUAUAUAGAUAUUUGACAUGAUUUAGCCAAUGCUUUCAGAAUAAAUUCUUGUAAGUAAAUAUUUAUUUAUAUAUUCUAUUUUUAAAUAAUAUACGCCUGUUAUACAUUGUUACAUACAAUGUUUUACUUUAACUACAAUGAUUUCAAUCUGCAGCAAACAUAGCCAUAUGGAUCUUUAUCACUUUAUAUAUUAGCAAUCAUAGCCUAGUUGAAAGUUAUUGUGAAACUACCUACCCAAGAGGUGGUGUAUAAAAUCCGAUAUGAAUUCUAGAAAAUUGUGUAGAUCUGUUAAGAGUACCAAAAAUGUCUAACCACUACACAAGUAUUCUCAGAAUGUUUGUGUAAAGCUCGAGGUGUAAAGUGAAUCUCCAUUAUAAACUAAAAGACAAAUUGAAAGUAUUGGUCCAGCUUUGUUUCAUAAAAGGAAUGGCUAGCCUAACAUAUAUACAAGUGUCUUGUUUUGGGGAGGGAUAAAUCGUAACUUUGUACAACUCUGAUUCAACCAAAUUAUAUCUGACGCAGACAUUAAUGUAUCAAGAAUGUUGAUUUUUUUUUAAUGACAACACAUUUGUAGGACGUGUUUUUGUACAUGCAAUCCGCAUUCUCAUUGGAUCAAAAUGAUUCAUUUCUUGUCAACUUGUUUCUUUAUUCAAAUCAGGAAGAAUUCAAUAGGAGCUUCUGAAAAUGAAAAAAAGCUACAAAAUCCUUUAAAUUCUUGUUCUGCUAUAUUGAUGAUGUCCUCCUACUAGAAAUAAAGUAAUUCUAAGUUUAAUGAAUAUAUUGAACACGUCUAAUCCAUCGAACUUGAAAAUUAUUGAUACAACACAUACAUCAAACACGUACGUCUCAUUGAAAGAGAUGGUAUAACUGUGUUUCAUUAAAAAGAAUUGCGAAUGUAGAUACAAGUAUCAUGUCUUGGGGAGGGAUAAAUCCUACUUUGUAAAGAACCACUCUGAUUAAAACAAAAACUUCUCUGAAACUGACAUUAUCAAGAUGCUUGACUUCUUUUUUGAAAACAUAUUUGUUACGUUUGGAGGACGUGUUUUUCAAAAGACUGUCGGAAUUUCAAUGGGAACCAAUUACGCCCCUCUUCUUGACGACUUGUUUCUUUAUUAUUAUGAGGCUGACGUCAUACAGGAACUUCUUAGGAAGAAAGAUAAGAAGUUAGCAAUAUCCUUAAACUUUACGUUCCGCUUUAUAGAUAAUGGUCUCUCACUAAAUAAUACAAAAUUUGUUGACUAUGUUGAACGAAUCUAUCCCAUCGAACUAGAGAUAAAGGAUACUACAGAUACAGUUAAGUCUGCCUCAUAUCUUGACUUGCAUCUAGAAAUUGACAAUGAGGGUCGGUUGAAAACAAAACUUUACUAGAGAUGAUUUCAGCUUCCCAAUUGUGAACUUUCCAUUUCUAUGAAGCAACAUUUCAGCAGGGCCUGCAUACGGAGUAUAUAACUCCCAAUUGAUACGAUAUUCCCGGGCUUGUAUUUCCUAUCAUAAUUUGCUUAAUAGAGGAUUGCUGCUCACAAGGAAGCUAUUAAACCAAGAUUUCAAAAUGUGUGAAGUUGAAAUCAUUCCUUCGUAAAUUUUACGGACGCCAUCAACAGUUGGUUGACCGUGACGGAAUAAUCGUUUCACAGAUGAUAUCGGAUAUGGUCCUUAUGUCGUAACUACAAUAUCCAUCCCUUUUCACGAAUGUGAUCACCGAAUUACGACUAUUUACCGGAUUUGUAAUAACAUAAGCAACACGACGGGUGCUACAUGUGGAGGAGGACCUGCUUACCCUUCCGGAGCACAGGGAUUAUAAAAUAACAGACCAUGCUGUGACAGGGAUUAUAAAAUAACAGACCAUGCGGUGACAGGGAUUAUAAAAAAACAGACCAUGCGCACAGACCAUGCGGUCAAAAAAUAACAACCGGUGACAGGAUUAUAAAAUAACAGACCAUGCGGUGACAGGAUUAUAAAAUAACAGACCAUGCGUGAAGGGAAAACAGACCAUGCGGUGACAGGAUAUAAAAUAACAGACCAUGCGGUGACAGGGAUUAUAAAAUAACAGACCAUGCGGUGACAGGGAUUAUAAAUAAAGAUGCGGUGACAGGGGAUUAUAAAAUAACAGACGAAGAUUAAAUGAAAAGUGUGGUCUAAUGAACUUAAAAUAUUUUUUUUGCCUUUGAGCAAUUCACUAUGCAAAGACAAACAGCAGUUUACAAAACUCAACUUAGAAAACCACAUACAGAGCAAACUAAACCCAUUCAAAAAUUAGAGGAGAUCUCGGGUGAUCCGGAAGGGUAGGCAGAUCUUGCUCCACAUUUUGCACCUGUCGUGUUUCUCAUAAAUGUACAACCACGGUGAUAAGUCAAAUUCGGUAGAUCACAUUCGAGGAAAAGCUGAGGGAACUGUGUUUAUGACAUUCAGAACAUAUCUGUGAAACAGAUAUUCAAUAACGGUCAACCAACUCACUGUGGCCUCCGUACACUUUUCAAAUGGUUGACUUCAUAUUCACUACGUAAAGCUCUUGGUUUAAUAGUUUCAUUAUAAGAAGACACCCUCCAUAAAGAAAGAUAUCUCAGGUGUUCUGGAAAGUUUAACAGUUUCUGCUUCAAACGUGGUAUCCACUAAAGAGCUGGUAAAACAAAAAGGUUUGAAAGUAAAAGCCGUACCGGACAGCGGUUUAGAGCUAUAAAUGAGGGAUAUGAAUAUUGAUAUAUGAUUAAAGUCUUAUAGACAUCUCGAUGAUGUUUUAUGGGGUUUUUUUGUAGAUUGAAAACACUGUUUGUUUUUUUAAUUCAAUAAUCUUUUUAGUCCGGCUAAGAGUUUAAGAAUGGUUGAUUAUUAAAAUUUAAAUAUCACAAACUGCACUCAGGAAUUUAGCAAGUCAGGAAAAUGGUAAUUGUUAUCUUAUAGUUCGUUUCUAUAUGUGUUGCAUUGUCGUUUGUUUUUUGUUGUUUCGUUGUUUUCUAGCUCUUAUAGUUGAUGUGUUUCCCUUGGUUUUAGUUUAUAACCCGCAUAUGUUUUCUUAAAAUCGAUUUAGAACUUUCGAACAGCAGAUUUCUACGGUUGCCUUUAUUUAGAUACAAGAAGAAUUAAAAUCACCAUCCCUUUUUAUUAAAUCAUCAAGAGAAAUAUGAACAAUCAUUGUAAUACCAAAAGUCAUAAGAGAUUAACAGCAAAUUGGAAAAAGAAAAAAAAACUUUCAUAUAUCUUUUUAUAGAGUAUGUGAAUGGUUUCAAUGAGUGACUAAAACAUUAUUGUACAAACUAAGCAUAGUUUCUUUGCUACCUACUGUUUCUUAGCAUCUAUUAGCAAACUUAUUUUUAAACUCCAAUUUUUAUUUCAUUUCAGACAAUAUGACUAUCAACAACUUGCCGCCCGAAGUAUUGGUGAAGGUUCUAUCAUUUCUAACACAGAAAGAUUUAGUUUUUGUCAUCCGCAACGUUUGUCACAUUUGGAGAGAUCUGACAACAUCAAUGUGCCUAUGGAACUAUGUUGAAUACAUAUAUGAAUAUCGCAAAGAUAGACUUAAUCGAUUUUACCGUUCUUUAGCCAAACAUAAACUAGUCAAUCACAUUGUUAAUCUUAAAAUAACAGGAGAACUAUUUUGGAAACUUUUAAAAUACGACAAACAUGUCAAAUUUGCAAGUCUUAAAAGCAUCGAUAUUUCUGCAGAUCUUUUACGAUCAGGAAAAAUUUUUGCUGAAAUUUGUAAUAGAUGUCCUUGUUUGGAAAGCAUAAAGAUUUGGGCGGUUGUUGGGGUUGACGUAAAAAACAUGUUUAAAGUUCUGUCGAAGAAGAAAUUUAUUGACUUUGACGUAGGCUACUAUAAUGAGGAUAAGCAACAAGAUUUUGACAAGCAUUUUUUGUCUUUCCUUGCAACACAGCCAAAUAUUCAGCAAUUGUCAUUGCGUACAUUACAUUCGCACGAUGAACAUGAUUUGGCGCGCAUUAUUGAAGGGAAUCCACACUUUACCACCCUUUGUCUAUCAAGUAACUACGUCUCAAAUCAACUUUUUAAAAGGUUACAUCUUAACUUGACAAAGAUAGCAAUACAUUCAAAUUUAUUUGAUGACCAAGGUCUCGAAUGGCUAACAAGUCGUCCAAACCAAUUAGUAUCGAUCAAUGUUAAAGAUUGUGAAACUAUCACUGACCGGGGCAUUUCUUUCAUCGGUCAAAAUUGUCCUUCGUUAGAACAUUUAACUUUUGGAAAUCACAUGCAAACUAAAAUUGGUAACGAUGGACUGUUGUCAGUUGCUCAAGGUUGUCCUAAGUUGAAAACAUUGCAUACACAUUUUAUUUGGAAUAUCAAUGAUGACAGCGUC